GGCUGUUCGCCCUCUGCUGCGCUUGUACGCUCGCCGAGCUCGUGCGCGCCUACCCCGCGCAGCCUCAGGUUUACGUUCCUCAUCGCUCUCACCUGCCCAAGUCUCGGGGCCGCUGACAUGACGCUGGGGAGCGCUCAGAGCGAGGCGGAGAUGGACUCAGUGGUCUUUGAGGAUGUGGCUGCGGACUUCACCUGGGCAGAGUGGACUUUGCUAAGUCCUGUUCAGAGGAACUCUACAUAGAUGUGAUGCUUCGAAUCUUCAGGAACUUGGCCUCAGCAGGUUUUCUGCUUGUGACCACUCCCAUGUCUGAAAAGAUGAGUGACGAUAGAGUUCUGCCACAUUCCUCUCGUGGCAUUUACCAGGGAGACAUGUUUCUGAAGAGGAGAGAAAAGGAAAGGCCAUCCCACAUUCCUGACAUGGACAGGUUUUGUCUACAGCAUCAGAUCUCACAUCAACGCUUAGAUAUGAGACCCGUCUAGCCUCACACUGAAGGCGGGGGUCUAGACUUGGGUUUCCACUGAAGCCCUCCCCGCCCCUGCACUCGGUACAUUGGUAGGAUUCGACUCCAGGAGGGUGUCUUUGUUUCACAGCAAGACUGUAGUCUCGCUUUGGUUUCUCCCCACUGAUCACCUACAUCACUGUUGUUCCACAUAUGGACGAUGUACAUUCAUAAUCGGGCUUCCCUGGUGGCGUAGGGGUUAAGCUUCCGCCUGCUAAUGCAGGGGACACAGGUUCCAGCCCUGGUCUGGGAAGAUCCCACAUGGCACGGAGCAACUGAGCCCAUGAGCCACAACUACCGAGCCUGCGCUCGACAGCCCGUGAGCCACAACUGAGCCCACGAGCCACAACUACUGAAGCCCGCGCGCCUAGAGCCCAUGCUCAGCAACAAGAGAAGCCACUGCACUGAGAAGCCCGUGCACCGCAACGAAGAUCCAACGCAGGCAAAAAUAAAUAAAUAAAUAAUAUUUUAAAAAAUUCAUAAUCAUU